UGGCCAGCCGACAGCAACGUUCCCAAAGGGCAGAACCCCGGGAGGACUCCGGGCAGGCAGGCAGGCUCGGGCUCGGGACCCACGCCGGUUUUUCUAGAACCUUCUCAGCCCCUGUGCCUGCUCCAGCUGCCGCCGCAGUGAUCAGCACUGCAGGGGCCUCGCCCAGUGGCGCGCGGGUGCGGGGGACCCGUGCAAGAAACCUUCUGGCCCUCGUGCACGUGAACCCCAGGACUGUGGGUGAGUUAGCAUCACGGGGCCACCAGUGGGGUCAGCUGUUGACGGAAAUGCUUGCCCGUCCCAUGUUCCUGGGGGACCGUUCUGAGGUUGCAUUUCACGACUUGUCAGAAGGACCUGUAGGAUGGCCCGUCAGUUCACAAGGACCCUCACUGGUGCCCCUUUGCCUCUGCUUCCGCUCCCCCUCCCCCACACUCCUGGUCUCCGAGACCACAUUCCCAGACUCCCUGCACGCAAGACUCGGUCUCAAGCUCUGCAUUAGGGCUGAACCCAGGCUGAGAGAGGAUGAUCCCCAGUCUAUCCCCGCCUCUUACACACAAAUGCACACACACACACACACACACACACACACACACACACACUGUUGUGUUCCCACCGUCCUCCCGGAUACAAACCAAACCCCAUCGACAAGGAAAGGAUUUCCCACGUGACAGCCACGAAGACCCAAAUGAAGCGGAACCAGGCCCCCAGGGGCAGAGUCGGACGUGCUAUGGGCUGCUUGCGACCCUAACAACAUCUGAGGUGAUGGGUGCGCAAUCAGCUGGGACAUGGAGUUUUCUGGAGCCGGGGAGGAGGGCUGAAGUCUGGCGGACGAGCCGUAGACGUGCGCCCUAAAUUACGAUAUUUUCCUUCUCACUGCGGAAUGAAUGCAGCCUCAGACAGAUGCUGCCCGCAGCUGUUUGAGGCGGGGGGCCCCGUGGCAGGCCAGCGACUUUGAAACACGGAUUGGAAUGGAAUCUGACAAAGGGGCCACUGUCUUUGAGGGAACUUGACAUGAGCCCGGCAGAGCCCGAGUGGCGGGAGUUUGCACAGCGGCAGCCCGGAGCAAACAUGUACUUUUAGCUGACCCGGGCCCGUGGCUUGGGCAUUAAACCUGACACUUUCCAGAUGCACGGCGCCCUCCCGUCAGCACCAGCCAGAGCACUCUGUCCCCAGGUACACACGCGCGCGUGCACACACACACACACACACACACACUCACGACACAGUUCUGUAAAUGCCGCAUUGUGCCAGAGACCCCAGGCCUCUGCUGCGAGCUCCACACCCAGACCUGAAGGCGUGUCCCCCAUAUGCCGAGCUGCAGGCCUAGGAGCUGGAUUUCGAAAUUGUUCAAGUUCAAAGUCGGCUCAACAGCAGCUGCCAUUCCGACCACCACCAUUCUUCACGCCUGGCUCCAGGUCGAGUGGCCACAAGAGGAACGCCCACGCCGGGCACGUCUCAUCUUGGAGCCUCCGUGUAUCAGCCCGAGAGGACGGCCGUGUGAGUUUCCUCGGACUGCUGUAACCAGUUAGUGCAAGGCCACGACUGACGCAUCGACAGAAUGAUCUGGAACCCAGCCCAUCACACAGGGAUGAGAGCACACCCUUCUCUGCGUCUAUACCGCUGGAAAACCACGUGAAGCGUGUGCUC